GCUUCCAUGGUGUAGUGGCUUAUCACGUUUGCUUUACACGCAAAAGGUCUCCAGUUCGAUCCUGGAUGGAAGCA
rnacentral:tRNA from 1 species